rnacentral:rRNA from 1 species
UCCGGUGGCUUUAGCGGCGGGGCCACACCCGUUCCCAUUCCGAACACGGAAGUUAAGCCCGCCAGCGCCGAUGGUACUCGGGGGUAGACCCCCUGGGAGAGUAGGACGCCGCCGGAU